rnacentral:rRNA from 1 species
GGGUUGUGAGGUUAAGCGACUAAGCGUACACGGUGGAUGCCCUGGCAGUCAGAGGCGAUGAAGGACGUGCUAAUCUGCGAAAAGCGUCGGUAAGGUGAUAUGAACCGUUAUAACCGGCGAUGUCCGAAUGGGGAAACCCAGUGCAAUUCGUUGCACUAUCGUUUGAUGAAUACAUAGUCAAACGAGGCGAACCGGGGGAACUGAAACAUCUAAGUACCCCGAGGAAAAGAAAUCAACCGAGAUUCCCCCAGUAGCGGCGAGCGAACGGGGAGCAGCCCGGAGUCUGAAUCAGCUUGUGUGUUAGUGGAAGCGUCUGGAAAGUCGCAGGGUACAGGGUGAUACUCCCGUACACUAAAACACACAGGCUGUGAACUCGAAGAGUAGGGCGGGACACGUGGUAUCCUGUCUGAAUAUGGGGGGACCAUCCUCCAAGGCUAAAUACUCCUGACUGACCGAUAGUGAACCAGUACCGUGAGGGAAAGGCGAAAAGAACCCCGGCGAGGGGAGUGAAAAAGAACCUGAAACCGUGUACGUACAAGCAGUAGGAGCCC